rnacentral:rRNA from 1 species
AUGGCGGACCAGCUCACCGACGACCAGAUCGCCGAGUUCAAGGAGGCUUUCAGCCUCUUCGACAAGGAUGGGGACGUAUUGGUCAACGAUCGACCAGGAACUAUCUGUUGGAUCGUUCUCUGUUUUGAGGGAUCUCGGGUCUCGAUUCCUGGUUGCAUUACCACCAAGGAGCUGGGAACUGUCAUGCGUUCCCUGGGGCAGAAUCCCACUGAGGCAGAGCUUCAAGACAUGAUCAAUGAGGUGGAUGCUGACGGCAAUGGAACAAUUGAUUUCCCUGAAUUCCUCAACCUUAUGGCCCGCAAGAUGAAGGACACUGAUUCUGAGGAAGAGCUCAAGGAGGCAUUCCGUGUGUUUGACAAGGAUCAAAAUGGUUUUAUCUCUGCUGCUGAACUGCGCCAUGUCAUGACCAACCUUGGUGAGAAGUUGACUGAUGAGGAGGUUGACGAGAUGGUCCGUGAGGCUGAUGUUGAUGGUGAUGGCCAGAUCAACUAUGACGAAUUUGUUAAAGUCAUGAUGGCCAAGUAA